ACAGAAUUCCACGAGUUUUGUUGUUUAUCUGUUUUUGCAGGGGGUUAUCAGGAAAUAAGGAAGAAAGGCCCACAUGUCGGGAUUACAUAGAGAUAUCAACGCAUCGCGCAAUUUUACAUCAUCUAGAAGACUCCAGAAGCCACGAGACCGAAGCGGAGGCGAAACGGGGCCAGGCCCAGGGCGCCCGCCCUGGUAGCCUGGGCGCCCGCCCCCCUGUUGGAGCCAAAUCAGGACUCUUUCGCUCGGGAUAUUCCACCGACCUAUUGGAUCAAGAAAAACAUAGUACCACCUCGCCUAUCGACCCAAAAACGCAUAGAAGGGGAGGACUAUAUAAGCAAGCCCCCCUGGCCCCUGGAGAGACAUGAAGAAAUUAUCAUAAAGACUGAGGGGUGCCCUCGAAGGAAAACCUCUUCUCUAAUUAAUAUUUCUUUUUAGGCUUAGCAAUCAAGGUAGAAAUAGAUCUUCUAGUUUCUACUAGAUUGAGAGAGAUAGAGUGGAGGUGUUGAUUGGAGGAAGCCCGGCUUGUCGGUGUCUACUCCAAGCUUGUACCUGCGGGAUCAAGUUCUCCUAACCCGAAGCUUGCUCCUAGGAUUCUUCAGUAAUUCGACUUCUAAAUUCUAGUAAGUUCUUGUUUUAUUGUUCUUAUGGUUUAUGAGUUUACUUUAAUCUCUUCGCGUAGAGUUUAGAGUAAUCAUUGCUGGCGUAAACGUGGUGUUUAGGCUGGGGUACUCAUAGAUAUUCCCUGACUAGCUGGACCGUGGUAGUAGUGAGGAACGUGACAUUUCCGAGCUACCUUUGUAGAUCACAUCUCGUUAGCAGGAAGGAUAGGGUUUAUAGGUGCGGGUCGAACAUCCUUUGUGGUGUCUAGAUUCCGUUAGCCUCCCCAUUAGAACAGUAGAUCAUCCUUACCAAGGUUAGAAGGAGACUACGGUUGCAGUCUUCUCUAUUUAUCACUCACAUCGAAAGAAAUUCUUUGUGCCUAAAGGGAUGGUAGCAAUAGAUUUGGUUAGUCAGAUGCACCCUUUCUCCCAGUGGUAAAAAUAUAAAUACGAUAACUCUGGAUAACCUCCCCGGUGAAAUGCUCACCGAUAUCCGUGCGCUUGCGGAUCGUUUCCUUAUUGUGUUACCAAAUAUCAACAAGCAUCUCUGGCGCCGUUGCCGGGGAGAAAGACGGUUUGCUGAGAUAACUUUGAGUCUUGCUAUUAUCUUGUAUUAUACUUUUAUACUUUUAUUCUUUUAUCUUUUUAUCUUUAUGGAUAUCUCAAAUUCCAUAACUAUUAUUAAAUUCUUUGCACCUUCGGAGACCAGCCAUAGACCAUGGGAGUCAACACGUCCUGCCCCUAAUUAUGAUCUGUGUCCGGAGUUGACUGCAAUAGGUCAAAACCAACCCUUUUCUAUAGCCGAGGUCCUAUCUUUUAAUCAAGAAGAUAAUGCACUUUUAGCUACACCUAGGGAAUCUGUUAAUCUUUCUAUAAAUUCUGGUUUAGACCUAGCCUUGCAAGACCAUGUUUUUCCUAGAUAUUUUCACAUUGGUCUUAAUCAUAUAACCUUUGGUAGAGUCCUUCUUUCUUUAUCAGUUAGUAACGGAAGGUAUGUCUUCAUUCGUGGACAUCCUUCUUGUACUAGUCUUCAUAAAAAAAAUCAUAGAGAUAGAGAAGGAAUCAUCUCCCAUACAAGGAGAGGAAGUUUCAAUAGCCGAUUUCCAAACUUUCCAAUCCCAUGAUUCGGCUAUCCAACCCAUCCUUGAGACUAAUAAUCUCUACUAUGCUCUUUCUCUUGAACCUCCCGAUAAUCCUAUGAAUCUCUCUAGACAUCCCAUGCAUAAGAAGGAGGAUCGAGGAGAGCAACAUCAAUGGCUAGAGGGCAUUAAGAAUUCAUGUGCUAUCACCACAUUUGAGAUCUCCAACCCUCUCUUCUUUUCUAUUUAUAAAAACUUUAAAAGAGCGGUUGUCGAUGCAUAUGUUUAUAAUAAAUAUUGCAGAUCUCGUCGAGUUAAUUGAUGGUUUCCCAAGGACAAGCUAAGUGUCCUAAAACAAGCACUUAUCAGAUUGUAACAUGAACUUCUAAUUACUUGCAACAUUACCUUGUGUAUUGAGCAUAUAAGAUAAUUGUAGAAAUAUUCCUUCGGGUAUUCUUGCCACUAACCUUUCCAGGAUUGGAGCAAGAAGACCGGAUGAAUGACAAGCGCAAGGUAUGCCCAACCAAUCAACAUGCAACAUUGAAUUAAAUUCAUCCAAUCUUAAAUUUUGCAAAAUUCAAGCUUAGGGGAGUACAUCACAUAAAACAUCCUUUGCCAUGUUGCUAUGUUGGUUGUCCUUACCUUUGAGACAUGCUCAAUUUGUUAAAUACUAAUCACACUACUUCAUCUUCACUUAAGUAGAUCUCUAUAAAUGCCAUCACGCUACCUUUGUUUAUCCUAGUAAGUGUUAGUUUGGAAGUACUGCACAUACUUCUAUUGGCUUUUAAAUUAAGCAUGGUGCUUAGGUUAAACAGCCUUCCUUAAUCUGAUUAGACAUGGAGUCUAGUUCGGUUAUUGAACUAAAAACUGCUUGUGUAGACAUUGGUAUAUUUUGUCAGACUAACCCCUGCAGGAAAACUUUCAAUAUCAACCUGGGAAGUCCUGAGAUAAACUCACAUUGGAGAUAAAGAAAGUGACACAUGAAGUUUAACAAAUUGCACAAGAAAGACGUAGCUCAUAAGAGAUGAUCCAUGGAGGGAGCCACAAACACGAUGCACAACCGCUAGAAAGGAAAGCUUCUACAAGGUGAUACUGUACCAUCACUCUUCAAAGGUAACAUCUUAAGGUACUUGACUAUCCUUUUAUAAGUUUCUCCUUGGUUCUGGCGUUCACAUAAAUAAAGAGACAAACAUGUAUGAUUUAUAACUCUAAAUUAACCAACCUAACUGAUUCAACAUGUUUAGUCCCUUAAUCUUUGUUCUUAGUACUACCUUCGUAAUCCCACGCUCCUAAACAUAUAAGCUAAUAUGUUGCACAUUCAAUCUUUGGAAGAUAAAAACAAAACAUAAAUAUAGAUAGAUUAUCUUUCUAUUAGGUUGAGCCAUCUGAUCUAACAAAUGUUUUAAAUGCUACACUCAUGAUCCAUCAACUUUGUCUUGCUCACUAUGCUUAAGGUUAGAAAAGAACAAAUACACUUUUGGUUCUGUUGGUGUUUUCCACCAACAGAGCCCAUGCACUUGAUCUCUGCCUUGUCUCUAUGAGCAGGACACAUUUUGAGAAACGUGAAGGCGUUUUACAACUCCCAGAUUCCAUUAAGUGAAGAACCGGGAUCUACGAGCACAAACACAAUGGAUAUCAGACACUUAGUUUCCCAAAGGAAAUAUUAAAGAACCUCUGUGUCCAUGUUGGUACCUUGUACGCUCCAGCAAACUUCGUGGUGGUAGAGACUGGUACUGAGGAGAGGGCACCCAUUAUCUUAGGAGAGGCCAUUCCUAAACACCAAAGCAAUCAUCUACAUUGGAACCAGAAGUCCACAUGUACUUCCCCUCUCAGAAGGUACGCAACUAUUUUACUGACCAUAACUAUAUAGUUGAAGAUUCUAAGCAGGUCAGGACAAGAAGACGACGCAACCGCAACCAGAGGAGGCAAAUCAUCAAGAACGGAUGGGUAGACUACGAAGGAGAAGUGAUAAGGACUGAAGACAUACAGCUUGAACAGAACUGUCCUGAGAAGACCGUAGCACCGAGUCAGGUGUGGAGGGAGAAGAUAGUUAUACACGAAGAGAGGCGCCGCCGGAAUCACCGACUACGCCACCUAGCGAAUCCCAGGACGACUGAGAAAACAGAGAGUCCCGUUCGGAGGACAUAAAAAUACCGAACGCCUUGCCAAGAGGUAAACUAGGUAGUUACCUUUCCUUUCAAUUAUUCAAUUAUAAUUUGCUUAGUUAAUCAGGUUCAUGCUAUCUUGAAAAGAAAAUAAAAAAAUGUUAAAAAAUGUUAAGCCCCAUGUGAGUAUGCUCAUGGCAUAAAAUCUAUAAGUACAUUCACUGUGGUGGCAUAAAAAUAAAAUAAAUAAGUUUUCAUCUUACAAUAAAAAUAUAAAAAUAAUAAGUGCAUGAUCCUACUAAAUAACAUUUAUUAAGGAAGCUCAACAUGAUAAAGGCUAGAUAUUUAUGCUAACACUUAACCAGUUCCACAAAGCUUUGUUGUCUAUUUGAGCUCCACAGAAUUCAAGGAUCAAAGAAGACUAGCAGACGGAGGACAUUCUAAUCGCUGUCAGAAUGCUGCUGACUUUCAAAUACACCUCUGCCACCUUCUAGCUACAUCAAGAGAAAUUAUGUCAAAAUUCAGCUUGGGGGAGAGCACCCCCAUUUAUCCCGAUAAGUAUUUCUAUCUAUCUUUAUACUUAUAUUAUUUUAGAAUAUAAAUAUACAUAACUAUGAAAAACCAAGUAAAGAUUUUAUGCUUAUAUAUAUAUAUGUCUUUUGCUUAGUGUGUUUAAUAAAUAAAUAAAGUGGCUAUGCUAAUCUGUAUCUAAAUAAAACUCAAGCAUGGAAAUGAUGAAUAGUUGCUCUGCCUAAUUUGCACAUUUUAAGUUCUCUCUCAAGUUUAGACAUAACUGUUAUAAUUUAAAGCUUGCUCUAGACCUAAACUUGUGGAUGAAAACUUAUCUAAGUUGUUAACGGAUACGAUAUGGGAAGGUUGAGCUGCUGUUUAUGUUUAUCUGUUUCUAGAGAUGCUAGAAUUCUGGAGAAUUUUAUCUUUGGAAAUCUUUAAAAUGUUGCAUGAUGAGUUCCUGUAUGAUGAGAGUUUAAAUUCCUACCACAGCCAUAUAUACAUGCUUGCUAGACUUCGAGCCACACAAUUACUUUUUACUGCUUAUGAGCAUUGAGUGUGGUCAAGCUGUAGGAGCUUGUCAUGUGGUUAAAUCAAGAUUCACUUGCACGUUCACUUACACAUGCUACUUCUACUCCGGAAGUACCAUCCACAUAUAUCCAUACAUUUCCAUCUUCAGAAUCACCCAAAAAUAUUCUACUCCUAAUCCGGGGGAGAAUAGCCAAAAAUAAUUUUGUUCUUCCUUGUGUAAUAAAUGCCUCAAGAUCAAUAAAGAGUAUUAUUAUUAUGUCUUGUGUGUCUCUACUUUAUUUUUGUGCAAGAAAGCGGAAAACAAGUAUGGGGGAGAUCCCUCGACAUGCUAAACACACUCCGACUACACCACUCCACGAUUCAGGUACACACUCUGCACACUUUACUUUACACACAUAUAUAUUUUAGAUUAUGCAGAAUAUUGUUCCCGACAUGAUAAAAUAAAAAGAUUAAAAUAUUUCAAAUCAUGAUUAAUCUCAAAAUUUCCUGAAGACUUGCGAUUAUUAUAAAAUCAUUUUAAAACCCUGUGUUACUUAAGUCAAUUGGAAUAUGUGAUGGUAGAGUAUGAGUUUCUUAUUCUUGAUAUCAUUGUGCUUGGAGAAUUUAUUUCAAAAUAUUCAAAAUUCUAGCUACCAUCCUCAGUGUUUUAUAUGCCUGAUAAAACUGAAAAUAUUAAUUAUAAAAGCUAUCUGCUCUGUAUUGAGUUUGUUCAAAAUGAGUUAGACCCUUGUUGAGAGAUUUAUCAUGCUCCUAAGAUCAAGACAUUAUUUCAGUAAGAUUCACUUUUCCGAAGUAUUAUUGCAUUAGAGGCAUGGGCUAUGCAAAAAUAGAAGAUAUUUCGAGGAAAUAAAAAGGAGCAAGUGCUCGACAACCUCGCAGAAAAAAUGGACAAGUGUCCGGCACUAGAAUUAGGGGUACCUCGGUAUCCACUUAAAAAAAAAGAGAAAGAAAAAAAAUGAUAGCCCAUGGUCCCUCUAAUAAGCAAUAUGCCAGUAAGAGUUGACAAAGAUUUUAAUUUUCAAAGUCUUUGAUCUAAGAGUAUGACAUUUCCCUCCUCGGAUCCCGUUUUGAUCAGGCAAUAAAUGCAAAGUAAGUAUGCUUGAGAAUUUUUGCAAAAUAAAACAGCCUCAGUGAGAUAUAUAUAAAAGAUAAUGAGUGAUCUGAGAGAACCUACUAUGAGGAUCAAAAAGGUAUGCUAACUUUCUUUCAAAAAUAUACAAAAACUCCAAGUGACAGGAUUGAAAAGAAAGAAUCUUUACGCUUAACCAUAUACUUCCCUGACUACAGUACACAGUGGAAUUUUAACACCCUGCAAAUUAUAAAGAGAAUAUUUUAAAUGUUUACCCCAGAUAUUGUUCUUAACCAUCCUUUUCUCGAGGACGAGUAAAAGCCUAAGUAUGGGGGUAUUUGUUGACGGUUCUUAAGUAUCAAUUUUAAUUAUCAAAUAAACAAGAGAAAGGACCAAUAUGCAACCAACACCUAGAAUUAGGGUUUGAUCUAACAGAAUUCCACGAGUUUUGUUGUUUAUCUGUUUUUGCAGGGGGUUAUCAGGAAAUAAGGAAGAAAGGCCCACAUGUCGGGAUUACAUAGAGAUAUCAACGCAUCGCGCAAUUUUACAUCAUCUAGAAGACUCCAGAAGCCACGAGACCGAAGCGGAGGCGAAACGGGGCCAGGCCCAGGGCGCCCGCCCUGGUAGCCUGGGCGCCCGCCCCCCUGUUGGAGCCAAAUCAGGACUCUUUCGCUCGGGAUAUUCCACCGACCUAUUGGAUCAAGAAAAACAUAGUACCACCUCGCCUAUCGACCCAAAAACGCAUAGAAGGGGAGGACUAUAUAAGCAAGCCCCCCUGGCCCCUGGAGAGACAUGAAGAAAUUAUCAUAAAGACUGAGGGGUGCCCUCGAAGGAAAACCUCUUCUCUAAUUAAUAUUUCUUUUUAGGCUUAGCAAUCAAUGUAAGGUAGAAAUAGAUCUUCUAGUUUCUACUAGAUUGAGAGAGAUAGAGUGGAGGUGUUGAUUGGAGGAAGCCCGGCUUGUCGGUGUCUACUCCAAGCUUGUACCUGCGGGAUCAAGUUCUCCUAACCC
rnacentral:lncRNA from 1 species